ACGGAGGAUCCAAGCGUUAUCCGGAAUCAUUGGGUUUAAAGGGUCCGUAGGCGGUCUAAUAAGUCAGUGGUGAAAGCCCAUCGCUCAACGAUGGAACGGCCAUUGAUACUGUUAGACUUGAAUUAUUUGGAAGUAACUAGAAUAUGUAGUGUAGCGGUGAAAUGCUUAGAGAUUACAUGGAAUACCAAUUGCGAAGGCAGGUUACUACAAAUGGAUUGACGCUGAUGGACGAAAGCGUGGGUAGCGAACAGGAUUAGAUACCCUGGUAGUCCACGCCGUAAACGAUGGAUACUAGCUGUUCGGAGCAAUCUGAGUGGCUAAGCGAAAGUGAUAAGUAUCCCACCUGGGGAGUACGUUCGCAAGAAUG
rnacentral:rRNA from 1 species